rnacentral:rRNA from 1 species
UACGUAGGGUGCAAGCGUUGUCCGGAAUUAUUGGGCGUAAAGAGCUCGUAGGCGGUUUGUCGCGUCGGAUGUGAAAUCCCAGGGCUUAACCCUGGGCCUGCAUUCGAUACGGGCAGACUAGAGUUCGGUAGGGGAGACUGGAAUUCCUGGUGUAGCGGUGAAAUGCGCAGAUAUCAGGAGGAACACCGGUGGCGAAGGCGGGUCUCUGGGCCGAUACUGACGCUGAGGAGCGAAAGCGUGGGGAGCGAACAGG